CCAGCACCUGCGGUAAUUCCAGCUCCAAUAGCGUAUAUUAAAGUUGUUGCAGUUAAAACGCUCGUAGUUGAAAUCCGGGUCGUAUCGUACCUGCGGGUCAAUGACUUUAGCGGGUGUGAGCGGCCAAUCUCUUCCGGAGAGGUCCCUGUCGCCUUCAAAAGCGGUGGGGAGCCACUUCUCCGGACGUUUACUUUGAAAAAAUUAGAGUGUUAAAAGCAGGCGUUUCGCUGUGAAUACAUUAGCAUGGAAUAAUGGAACAGGACUUUGGUCGUGUUUUGUUGGUUUUAAUGGCCGAAGUAAUGAUUAAUAGGGAUAGUUGGGGGCAUUCGUAUUUCGUUGUCAGAGGUGAAAUUCUUGGAUUUACGAAAGACGAACUACUGCGAAAGCAUCUGCCAAGGAUGUUUUCAUCAAUCAAGAACGAAAGU
rnacentral:rRNA from 1 species